AAAAAAAAAAAAAAACCCUGAUUCUGGAAAAUAAAAAAAAAUAAUACCCUAGUUGUUGUGAUCUAUCAAUCAAAGGUAAGAUUAGAUUGAUUCUCUUCAAUUUUCUCUUUUCUUAAUGGUUUUUAUGCAUGGAGGAGACCUUUUCUGAUAUGUAUUGAUUUGAUUUGCGAAGAUGCCAUGGGAACUUCAAGUGGGCCGAAACUCUCAGGAAUGCAGAAGCAAGUGCUUAGUCUCUACCGAGGGUUUCUGCGUGCUGCUCGUUUGAAAUCCCCUGAGGAUCGCCGCCAGAUUGAAUCCAUUGUAUCGGCUGAGUUCCGCCGCAAUUCCCAGCAAGUAGAUCGCAAGAAUUUCCUCUACAUCGAGUAUUUGCUUCGUCGGGGUAAGAAACAGCUUGAUCAGCUCAAGAGUCCUGAUACUGUUGGAAUGUCGUCUCUAUAUCUCAAUUUGCAUCAACCCCCAAAUCAUAAGCCUUGAAUUUUUCAAUUUGGGGUUAGUUUUUGCUAACUUCUUGGUGAUUCUUUGUGGGAAUUAAACUAAUUGUAAUCUGCUGAUUAUUCAAAAAUUGAGACACGUUUGCUCAUUGCCUCCAUUAAUUCUUGAAAGGUGGCUGGCUUGGAAGUUCGAACUCAGAAACCCAUUUUGAAUGUGUGGGACUGAAAUUUUUGUAAUUUCAAGCCAAAUCAAAUCCAUGAAAUUAAACUAAUUGUAAUCUCCUGGUUAUUCAAGAAUUGGGACGCGUUUGCUUAUUGCCUCCAUUGAUUCUUGAAAGGUGGCUGGCUUUGAUUCUUGAACUCGGGAACUCAUUUUGAAUGUGUGGGACUGCAAUUUUUGUAAUUUCAAGCCAAAUCAAAUCCAUGAAAUUAAACUAAUUGUAAUCUCCUGGUUAUUCAAGAAUUGGGACGCGUUUGCUUAUUGCCUCCAUUGAUUCUUGAAAGGUGGCUGGCUUUGAUUCUUGAACUCGGGAACUCAUUUUGAAUGUGUGGGACUGC
rnacentral:misc_RNA from 1 species